UAAUCCUGGUCGGACAUCAGGAGGUUAGUGCAAUGGCAUAAGCCAGCUUGACUGCGAGCGUGACGGCGCGAGCAGGUGCGAAAGCAGGUCAUAGUGAUCCGGUGGUUCUGAAUGGAAGGGCCAUCGCUCAACGGAUAAAAGGUACUCCGGGGAUAACAGGCUGAUACCGCCCAAGAGUUCAUAUCGACGGCGGUGUUUGGCACCUCGAUGUCGGCUCAUCACAUCCUGGGGCUGAAGUAGGUCCCAAGGGUAUGGCUGUUCGCCAUUUAAAGUGGUACGCGAGCUGGGUUUAGAACGUCGUGAGACAGUUCGGUCCCUAUCUGCCGUGGGCGCUGGAGAACUGAGGGGGGCUGCUCCUAGUACGAGAGGACCGGAGUGGACGCAUCACUGGUGUUCGGGUUGUCAUGCCAAUGGCACUGCCCGGUAGCUAAAUGCGGAAGAGAUAAGUGCUGAAAGCAUCUAAGCACGAAACUUGCCCCGAGAUGAGUUCUCCCUGAGACUUAGAGUCUCCUGAAGGAACGUUGAAGACGACGACGUUGAUAGGCCGGGUGUGUAAGCGCAGCGAUGCGUUGAGCUAACCGGUACUAAUGAACCGUGAGGCUUAACCUU
rnacentral:rRNA from 2 species